AUUACAUGGUUUGCUUAGAAUACACGUUGUUGACUCUAACGGGGUAGGCUAGUGGUUGUUGAAAAGGCUUUGAGUUCCCCGGAAAAGAUGGUCUUUGAACCCAAUAUCCUAAAAAAAUACGCCAUGUCCAUCUUCAUAGACCGAGAUUUGUCUAAUCUACAUAUAUGUGGUGUAUUGCAUAAAAUCCCAUGGGUCUGUGACCCUGGUGUAUAGAGAUCACAGUCUAUCACAAAUGUAAGAUACACAUUGUUCUUUUUUUAUUCAUCCAGGACCCUUAAAUCGAUGUUCUGAAUCAUCUAAAUCUACUUCUACAGAUUGUAGUUUAAAAACCUUUUAUAAAGCUCCUUUUUUAUAUAAGUACAAUUUUCAGCAAUUAUAGGAGGGUAUCAACUUUUGACGUCUCUUUGUCUUUGGCAUAUACAACUACUUUUUAUUAGAAGUGGCUCAACAGGGGAUCAGCCAAGUUCGGUAACGGGUUUGUAUCAGAAGAGGUAAGAUUCUAGUGCGGGUCAGAUAAAGGCAGGUAGACCCCAAAAACACCUGCACAUCUUAAUAAUACUUUUACAACGCAUCAAAUUUAUGUACAAAAAGUUAUAGUAGUCCAUAAAGAGCUAAUUAACCCGUUGAUACGAUCUGCACAUCGUAUCACCCGUCCCAUCCAGUUGCCAGUUUGCCACACUUCCUCUUGCGAUAUUUUUUUGGUUUUACCCAUUGGCCUGUUAGAGGUAAAGCAUCGGUACAUUGGUUGAAAUAGCCACCUUCCCCUUCAUCAAUCCUUUAGAGUACUUGACUUCUGCAGCUUGUAGUUGUAUCACCCCAUCUGUUUUGUCAACUUAACUUUGGUAAUACGGAGUAAUUGUAUUUGAUUAUUAUAUGUUUCAGUUGUUUCAUCCAGUAAGACUUCACGAUUGAUUAUAGUGUAAGAUUUGGUUUGUGUGCUGACUGAUCAUGAAGACCAAUGUGCAGAUUCAGGUCAUUAUGUUGUUUGGGUCAACCAAGAAAAUGGUAAAUGGAUCUAAUUCGACAAUGGUGAUCCAGUCCUGCUAAGGGAAGAAGCUAUAACGAAACAAUUUAAAGAGUCCCGUACCAUUGCCAUGUGACGCUGUUCCCAUUAAUAUGGAGUAAUUUGAUUGAAAGAACCGUCAUUUAGCUUGCACCCACUUAGAACAUGGAGUGAAGAACGGUCUGGAGAUUUCGAUUUUACAAAUUUGUUUGGUGGGUUUUCCAUGGUUUUAUUGAAAAAUUAUUCACAAAUCUUUCAGCUUUUAAAAUAUCAAGCACGUGCCCGUGAAAUUGUUUGUUGAUCAUGCUGAUAUACAUCCCGUUUUAAAGCAUGUAAAGCACCCGAAUAUCUGGUAAAGCAUUUCAUGUAAAGCAUUUCAUAAAAUUACCA